rnacentral:tRNA from 1 species
GCGCCUGUAGCUCAACGGAUAGAGUGCUUGGCUACGGACCAAGAGGUUGGGGGUUCGAAUCCCUUCAGGCGCG